UGGGGAGUAGGAGACUGUAAAAGGUUGAUUGCUUUCCAUUCUUUUCUAGUUUGAAAAAAACUAAAUCAAAAUAGAGGUUUUACUCCUUUGUUUUGAUCUUUUACUUUGAGGAAAUUAGAGUGUUCAAAGCAAGCAACAUUAGUUUUGCUACUUUUUUUUGAAUAUUGCAGCAUGGUAUAAUAAAAUAAGAUUGAUUAAAUUAAAUUUGUUGAAUCAAGUGUGGGCGAGGUGAAAGCUUCGUUUACAUGAAUUUCAAAUUAAUCAAUAAUGAUAAAUAGAGAUAGUUGGGGGUAUUCAUAUUUGAUUGUCAGAGGUGAAAUUCUUGGAUUUUUCAAAGAUGAACUAGUGCGAAAGCAUUUAUCAAGGAUGUUUUCAUGUGAUCAAGAACGAAAGUUUAGGGGGAUUGAAGACGAUUAGAUACCGUUGUAGUCCUAACUAUAAACGAUGCCAACCAAAGAUAAGAAAAAAGGAACUAAAAGGGGGGGGGGUAGGCACGUCCACUUCUCUCUCUCUAUGUCCUUUCUUGG
rnacentral:rRNA from 1 species